AUUGAUUUAUUCCAUUCUCAGACGCACAUGAUUCAAAAGCUUUCUUAGUCUCCUCUUGACCCUCAAUUCACUUCUUAUCAUUAACUUUCCUUAUGAAGCGAAUUUAGCAGCGCCUGCAUAUAAAUUGUGAAAGCACAGUUAGGCCUCAACAUGAGUAAAGCAUGUGAAAGGGUAGAAUUGCAACGUGGGCAGACAUAUGGAAGAGAUAAUAUGAGCACUAAAAUCUACAGUAUAACACAAGAUAGUAAACCACUACAUCAAACACAAAACUGCAAAAGACUUCAGCAAACUGUAGAAAAUAUAUCAAAGAGGAACUUGCAAGCAAUUCAAAAGACAACCACUAAAAACUUGUUUUGUUGCUUAAUUAUUGUUGUCGGCCAUGAGAGUUUCAACAUAUUGCUUCCAGGACUUUGCCUAAAAGAGGAAUUUAAAUAAGUAAUGAAGAAUAGUAAUGAUAGUGAACAAAAAGAUCAUAUGGCCAGAAUUACAUGCAUUGAACAAUCAGAACAACAAUAGUUAUCAAUGACAGAGUACAAACAAAGUGGAGGGAAGAAUCAUAUGUGAGUAUGUAAAGGACUGGUUAGAUGUGACCAUAACGUGAGAGAAAUAGGCACCCAAAUCUAGAACCAUUAUGCCAACAAUUAAAUGAAACUUGAUUUAAAGUAACAAAAAGUUUAAGAUAAAAGGAAAAUUUUUCAAACUACACUUAGAGUUCAAGUCCCAAAACAUUGGUAUAUCGCAACCAAAAUCUCAAGACAUAACAAACAAAUACAAAAUAAAGUUAGAAUUUAGUAAAAUUGUAAAGAGAGGCAGAGUUCAACUCUGGAAUAGAUUAACACUUACAUUUCUCUAUUUUGAUUACAAUAUACUCCCGAACUAUUCAAAAUGAAGAUAAAAAAAAAGAAGCAAAAGCUAGUUAGCUACUGAGGAAUGCCACACACCAGGUCAUAUGAUAUGGUGCAUGAGAAUAAUAACUUGCAAUGUGCAAAUAAUUAUAUACAUGUAAUAUGUCAUUUGUUGCACUACUUUGUUCCUUGACAGUUAUUAAUCAAGAAGACUAACUCUCUUUUCAUCACUUUCUUGGUUAAGUUUGCAAGCAAAUAAAAAGCAUUACAAUUUGACCUUUUAUAAAUGAGACAAGUUAGUGAAUACUUUAAAACAAAAUUUCUCAAGAAAUGAGUUUACCUGUCCUCAAUAUAUUUUUGUGUCCACAGACUUUGUUGUCAUUAAUAUAUUUUUGUUGUCCUCUCGAAUCCUACAUAAUUUCUAGCUUAAUUCAAACUACAUAAUUUCUAGCUUAACUCAAACGCAUGGAAAGAAAUGGAGAAAAACUGGAAUUAAUAAAAGAAACUACCUUAGAUCAUCAAGAGAAUGAUAAGUAAACAUGAUUCGUAAAAAGUAAUUUAUACCGUUUACUUACCAGUUAGUUAGCAUGGAGGUCAUGAUUUCUUACUCAAAUGGCGUAGCACCAUAACCUCAUGAUCCCCAAUGCUGAAAUGCUUUCAUAUUCCAUCAAAUAAAAUUGGUUAAAUAUUCUUAUCAUAAAAAUAAAAUAUUCUAAAUUCCAAACUUCAAAAGUAACAUGUCAUCUGAAAAGGUAGAGCACAUAUCAGAAGAGUAUAAUGUAUAAAUUCAAAAGCAUAAGCUGGUAGAAAAUAUAGUCUCAACGAAAGCUAAGCGGUAAUCUUCCAACUUUUCAGAUAAUUACAUAAUCUGAUCUACAAAUUCCUUCAGCAAAUCAUUAAUUAGUUAGAACUCAAGCUACCAAAUAAAAAUAGUUCAGUUGUCAUAAAAUUAACACAAAACAGUCACAAUAACAGUAUACUCAAAGAAUUCAUCAAAGAGAAUAUAAAUAAAAAAUAUUUGGAGUAUACUAAAAAAUCACUUAAAGAACAUGAUGACGAUAACUCAACGGUCACUCCGAUAAUAUUGAGAUCAAUAGAGUGAAAGUCACAUAUAAAAUAAUAUUAGAACUACUUAUCUUCCAAUUGCCGAAUUUUACUGUCAAUAAUUACAAAUUAUAAGCACAUAAGAAUCAAUCAUUAGAGGUAUAUAUGGACACUUCAAGGAGAAGAAUACAUACGCAAAACACUACUUUCAACUUUAUGUUCUAAAAAAUCAUUAAAACAUAAGUCCAACAGUUAUGCGUGAAGAGUGAAACACCUCUAAAAACAACACUGAAAUAAAAAAGGGAAUAUAAUCCUUGAACCAUAGCUGCCGCUGGUGCACAGAAAUACACCAACACGACACCCUUUCAAUCGGGGAAUCCGCCGCACGUGGAGGGCUGCAUCAGCCGAAGUUCUACAUUGCAGUAUUUCAAGAUGAUUAACAUUGAACCACCAUUUUUGAUGUUGGUUGUUUUCAAACCAAAAUCCGAUCUUGAUUUUAAAAAUCCAAUUUCAAAAUUUCAACUUAAAUUUUAAUUAACCCACGAAAAAAUUGAGAUUGGUUUUGCUUUUACCGUUUUGGGCGACAGUGGUCUGAUGCGGCGGCACUAGGGCAGCGAUUGACAACAGAGAAAUGGCGGCGGAGUCUUCGAUUGAGUUUGGUGAGCUAUGGAAUAGCGAUGAGAGGUUAUGGAAUCUGGAAAAGAGUUGACGAAAGGGGUUUCGGAUAUUGAGAAUUUUUCUUUAAAAUCAUAGGAGAAGAAUAGAAACAGAGAGAGAUUGGUUUUGCUUUUACCGUUUGGGAGACGUUGGUCUGAUGCGGCGGCGCUAGGGCGGCAGUUGACGAUCGAGAAAUGGUGGCCGAAUCUUCAAUUGAGUUUGGUGAGCGAUGGAUCGACGAAGAGCGGUUAUAGAAU
rnacentral:lncRNA from 1 species